UACAGAGGUCUCAAGCGUUGUUCGGAUUCAUUGGGCGUAAAGGGUGCGUAGGUGGCGCCGUAAGUCGGGUGUGAAAGCCCCGGGCUCAGCCCGGGAAGGGCACUCGAAACUGCCGAGCUGGAGUGCCGGAGGGGAGAGUGGAAUUCCUGGUGUAGCGGUGAAAUGCGUAGAUAUCAGGAGGAAUACCGGUGGCGAAAGCGACUCUCUGGACGGCAACUGACGCUGAGGCACGAAAGCGUGGGGAGCAAACAGG
rnacentral:rRNA from 1 species